AAAACACCCACACAGGUUGUGUUGAACUGGUUAAUAGCACAAGAAAACGUCGUGCCAAUCCCGGGAGCCAAAAGUGCAGAACAGGCUAUUGAAUUUGCAGGUGCAUUGGGUUGGAGAAUCUCCAGUGAAGAAAUCAAUGAACUUCGUUCCUUGGCUUCAGAAAUCAAACCUGUUAUUGGUUUCCCUGUUGAGAAGCUGUAGAUCAAUAGAUAUGAAAGCGGAAA
rnacentral:misc_RNA from 1 species